UUGCACAUUUGGAUUCCACCACCAACUAUUUUUACUUUUAUGAGAUUUUCCCUUCGAAACUCCAAGUACAUCUUUUGCAAUAUUCUUAAUAUUACAAGCCACUUUUUCCCACAUAAUAUUGGCAUCCUCAUGCACAAACAAAAUCUUAAGAUCUAAAAUCUUACUCUCAAAAAUACUUUUGUUAAUAUGAACCGAAGGGGAAAAAAUGCAAAAAUCAAAGAAAUAAAGAAUAUAAAGGGAUGACUAGAUAACUUUGAGCUUGACUAAAGCUAUAGAAAUAGGUUGGGGAAAAAGGGAAAUGGAAAAUCAAGAAUGCCCAUAACUCCCAGUAUCAUUGACGAGAGAGAGUGGUGAAUUUUAGCUCAUUUUUCCAUUCAUUUUGCAUGCCCUAAUUUCGCUAAAAAUUUCGCUAAGGGAGAGUAUUUAUAGACAACAAAGACUCAAAAAAAGACAACAAAUUAAGUCUCAUAAGACCCAUCAGCCACCUACUAAUUUCCUAAUGCCUACUAUUAACUAAUGAACUGCUAAAACCCAUAAUAUAUCCUAUCAUGACCUAUCAAAUACAUUUAUUACCCUAAUAUAUCAUGUUUUGGAGUCAAGCAAUUGUUGUUUCAUUAUGAAAGAAAUUAGGCAAUUACAAAAAUAUAUAACAAGUCUUCUUCAACCUUCUUUCCUCCUAAUCUCUCCUUUCGACUCCUCUGAAUCUUAUUCUGAGAUCUCUAUUAUGAAUUAUCUAUCCUCCCGAAUCUCCCUAAUUUAUGAUAAUCAUGACUUCUCCUAUGAACUAUUUAGGCAAGGAAUGUUGAUUACAACUUAAAAGAGUGAUAAUUUUGCUGCAAGAAAUUACAAUUGAUCUUACAGAAGUUACGAGAAGUUUACACCAACAGGUUAGCAUUAUCAUUGAUCAGGAACAAUCUUAUUAGCCAUUGAGUAACUUGACCCUUAGGAUAGGGUCUUCCUUAGAACUUCUAUAAGCUCCUCUCAUAGCAUCGCCAACCUCUCAAGAUUCCUCUCAAUAAUAACCCAGUCUUCUUGAUCAUUACCCCUACUCUAGUAGGCAAUGCACUACAUGUAUUGUGAAAUUAAUGUCUCAAAACAUGCUUUGAAGAAUGAUGAUUUGAAGUAAGUUCUCAAAACACUAAUGGUUAAAUUAAUGCUUAUUACCAAGAAAAGGAACAAAGAAACUAUUGAUUCUAUGUUACUCAUCUUAAGCUAAGUUGUGACAAGUAUUCUUACUAUUUCUAUUUGUAUUUUUUACUAUGUCAAGAGGCCGAGAACAAAAAAGAUUCAAGAUUCACAAAGAAGUAUAAUUAAAUUAUAUGCAAAAUGAAUAAUGGAAAUGCUCGAUCACCCUCCACAUUGUGAGAAUUGAAUUUGUUUAAAGUAAAUGAUGGAAUUUCUAAUUGUGAAGAAGAUAUUAUCAAAACAAUUCCUGGGAAAUUUAGGACAGAAAGUCUUAACUCACGCCAAUAAUCAUUGGAUUUGAAGGACAAGCUCUGAAAACAAGAAACUCAAAAUAUUAAUGCUUAAUUCCACAGAAGUUUGAUUGCUUGUUAACUAUAACUCGCAGCAAAGACCAAUAGAAUGCAUCAAAAAUCUUUCUCUCGCUUGAUGCCAAAUAAAAAAAUAUUCCAUGUGAACUUUAGAAUUUGUCUCCAAAUGCAUUCAAGACAGUAAAAGUUUGGUUUAAUGCAUGAAAGUAAGAGAAUGCACGCAGGAUUGCUCAAACUUUGCUUUCGAAUCUACUAAUAUAUGUUAUGGAUAUGGGAAGUUUGCGGGUGUAUGAUUUUCUUUUGAAAGUGGAUUGUUUCACGAAAAUGAAAAAAAAAAA